AAUCAACGCUGGCGGCGUGCCUCAGACAUGCAAGUCGAACGCGAAAUCUCCCUUCGGGGAGAAAGUAGAGUGGCGCACGGGUGAGUAACACGUGGGUAAUCUACCUCUGGGUGGGGAAUAACAGUCGGAAACGGCUGCUAAUACCGCAUAAUGCAGCGGCACCACAUGGUGACAGUUGUUAAAGCGGGGACGGGAGCAAUCCCACCUCGCGCCUAGAUGAGGAGCCCGCGGCGGAUUAGCUAGUUGGUAGGGUAACGGCCUACCAAGGCUACGAUCCGUAGCCGGCCUGAGAGGGCGGACGGCCACACUGGCACUGACAUACGGGCCAGACUCCUACGGGAGGCAGCAGUGGGGAAGUCUUGCGCAAUGGGCGAAAGCCUGACGCAGCAACGCCGCGUGAGUGAUGAAGGCCUUCGGUCGU
rnacentral:rRNA from 1 species